ACUCAAAGGAAUUGACGGGGACCCGCACAAGCGGUGGAGCAUGUGGAUUAAUUCGAUACUAACCGAAGAACCUUACCCAGACUUGACAUCGAUCGCAAGCCUAAGAAAUUAGGCCCUCUCUCACAAGGAGACGUGAAGACACUUGUUGCAUGGCUGUCGUCAGCUCGUGCCGUGAGGUGUACGGUUAAGUCCGCCAACGAGCGCAACCCUCGUUCUAUGUUGCCAGCGAGUAAUGUCGGGAACUCAUAGGAGACCGCCGGUGUAAAUCGGAGGAAGGUGGGGAUGACGUCAAGUCAGCAUGGCAGUUACGUCUGGGGCUUCACACAUGCUACAAUGGACGAAACAAAGGGCAGCAAUACCGCGAGGUGGAGCAAAUCCCAAAAAUACGUCCUCAGUUCAGAUUGCAGUCUGCAACUCGACUGCAUGAAGGCGGAAUCGCUAGUAAACGCAGGUCAGCUAUACUGCGUUGAAUACGUUCCCGGGUCUUGCACACACCGCCCGU
rnacentral:rRNA from 1 species